ensembl:lncRNA
GCGGACGGAGCAUGAAUGCAGGCCCGGCGGCCGCCCUCCCGGGUCUCCUGCAGGAUCGCUCCAUCUGCGGCGCCCGGCCCCAGGUCCCAGCUGUGACGGGCCCACGUGGCAGUCUCGCAAGGUUCGCUUUCUGCCGUACCAAGCAGGAAUUUCAGCACCCGAAAAUCUCCUACAUGGGCUAGAUGCUGGACACCAUCUACCUGGUGCUGAAGCUGUGAAGCCUCCGAGGACCAGCGGCUGGACGAGCUGUUGCAGAAGGGGACCCAGGCCACUUCACCAGCCCCACUCAGCUCUGCAAGCACCGUGAGGAGUUUACCACAUUCCCCUCCCCAUGAGAACAUUUUGCAUUGUUCUGUUCUUCAAGCUAAUGGAGGAAAAACACCCUGAUGGACAUGAGCCACGUUGGACCCACACUCACUGGGCUUGGCAAAGGGUGAAGAAAUCAGGAGAAUGGAGAGAAAUUCCACAGGUGGAUGGCAAUGUGCCACUUCAGCUCCGCCUGGUGCCUGGCAUCCCCUCCAUCUGGGACAUGGGGACCCUUCUCUAAAGAAACCCAAAAGCUUCAGGGAAAUAUCAAGACCAGGGAGGGACCAGAAGCCUCAGCUCCCUGCUGAUUCCACUUUAAGUCCUGUCCAUUGAGAAGGGGUUGCAAGAGACUUGUUAAUGUCUCUUGUUUUGUUUUUCUUUUUAGUUGCUUUAAUAUGGGCAUCAGCUACAUAUUAAAAAUAAAUAUUUUUUAUUUUUUU